rnacentral:lncRNA from 1 species
CGGGGCGGGGCGGGGCCGGCGGUGGCGCGCGCGUGCGCGUGCGCGCGAGGCAGCUGCAGGUCCGCGGCCGGACGGUAGAGGCCUCCCUUCUGAGGAGGCGGCGCGGCCGCAACCGGCUGGGGCUCUGCUCCCCAGCUCGCGGGUCCUUCCCGACGAAGUCCCUGCGCGGCCCGACCCAGUGUCCUUUCAAGCACGGAUCGCAGUGCCCAGUGGUCAAUACCCUUACUUUUAUCCAGUGUCUGCUUCAUUUAAACUUAAUCAACUCCAUCAACGAACUGGAACAGGGAAACGUCCCUGCGGUAAGAAUGUUGUGCUUUUGUGGGAUAAUUCUUUGCUCUUUCCCGAUCCGUUGCCGUUAAACCUAAAAUUGCACUAUGAUGAACUUUUUUUUUUUAAUCAAUAUGAUAAUGACAAUUGGGCCUGAAUGCUCUGGUAGGACUUAGACUUGAGCUGAAUCUGGUUUCCAUCACUAAAACAACUUCUGGUCCUAUGAUAGUCCGCCUCCUUUUGUGUGGCUUUAAUACCUUUUCUUCCCUGACAUUGAAUAUUGCUCAAGCUGGAAAAUGAUGCAUCUUUGUAGGGAAGGCUCAUAUGUCACAGCCAGAAAGUGAAGCAGACCGAUUGGUUGUGUGAAUUAUCUGACUUGCUGCAGUGAAUUAUUUGCACUGUUUCCCUACCUAGUCAACAAGUUCCUGAGGUAUAGUAGAGAUCAAUCAAAACUGACAGCCUGCAUGUGAAGGCUUUACUGUGUAAAUCUGGCGCACUCAUCCUAGCCAUGCCGGCCCUGGCAUCUGUAUAUCAUUUUUAUACUGCUACCAGUAGAGCAAUUUCAAAAGUAUUUGCAAGGAAAAUGCGUGUCCCCAUCUGUUCCUAGAAGCAUAAAUGUGCCACCUUCAGAGGGUUUUCACUGGUAAUCAUAUCUUUAAUGAUCAACAGACUAGUGAUAUAUAUUUUUCCAUAAAAUGGGGUUUUCUUCACUUUAUUGUGAUUGGCUAGAAUAAAUAGCUUUUCCAUAUGUUCGGGAGAUAAAAU